UGUCCAGCACCUUACGCCUUCCCUAGUCGCCGCUGUCUUCCCACUUGCGCUCCUCCAUGAUGCGAUCAAAGCAGUCCGCAAGGAAUGCAUGCUGCAGGAUGGAAAACAAUAUUAAUUAAAUGCAAUUCACAUGGGAGUGGAUGACAAUUGUAUGCAAAUUAAUUAUGUCUUGUACUACUGCGUUUAAAUCACACAAAAGGGAAUCAUUUCUGUGUACAGCAGAGCUAUACUAUAUGCCAUUAUAUUGCACUGUUCCACAUCCAAACUUACAUAUGGCGUGUAGACUUUGAC